ACGAAUCGCUUCCUAAUUUUUUUAAAAAGCUCACUUCCACGCAUCCAUACGAUUAUGCUUCUGCGUAUCCGCUUAUGUUUCCUUGUAACGUAGAUUUAAACUGAAAAUAAUAAUAUCAUACUAACAAACUAACUUUUUUAACCGAAAUUUUAAAACAAAGCUUAAUAUUAACAAGCUUAAUAAAAAUCCAUAUGUUAAUAUUUGAUUCAACAUAAAAAUUAAAUUGGAUAUGCAAUAACCCUAAAUAAAAAUUUGAAAAAAUAACUUAAAAUAAAAAAAAACCAAAUUAUAUCAUAAAAUAUGUAUAGAUAUAGUAGUUUGUAUAUACAAUUACAUUACAUAUUUUUAAAUAUAUGGAUAGGAUUGGAUCUGGUAUCCGGCUUUCCAAGAAAAUGAUAUUUGUGAUUUGCUUCAUUUUUACGGAUAUCAUCUUUUAUAUUGGCUUUGAUUCGAAGCAUUACGGUUAUCCGGAUUUUUUGGAUCAAAUUGAAAUGAAUAACGAAUCGGUUCAAAUUUAACAGAUAAUUUGUCCGCCCUAGAUAUUAUAUACACAAUGAUUUUUUUUUAUCAAGGACAAUAAUUAAGACGCCUUAAUCGAGGUGUGAACAAAGUGAACGACAUUCUUC
rnacentral:lncRNA from 1 species